AGGUGGGGGGGGGAACUUGGUUUUAAAUAUCUGGCUUUCUAAACUUUGUUUUGAGACUGUUAGUAAUAGGGGUGUGCGGAGAACCCUUGAGAAAACCUUUUCUCCGGCUGGGAAAGGACCAUUGAUAGCUUUCUGUACAUGCGUGGUGGCCUCACUCCCCUUCUGGGAUGAGAUGGACUGAAUUAAACGCCAGGGUUACCUUUGCACCUGGACGCUGAGUGGACAUUAAAGCACCACCUGAGCAGAACUGCACGCUGCAGGCUCUAUCACUCUAACCUCAAAAACAGCCUGCAGUGAUUCCGGGAGCGAUACCACAGAGGACUCUUGUUGGGUUACCAUCUUGGACUUGAAGGAGGUCUUUUUUGCACACGCUUGAGUUUUGAAUCCCGACUUGUCUGCUUUCGCUGUUGGACAGUGCUUUCUCAGGGAGUUAAAAAUUCUCACAAUACUUGGAGAAAUCCUGACGAGACCUGAGGGACCUUGAACUAAACAGGGGAGCCCUGCUCCGGGCUGUGGACAACGCCCUCAUUACCAGUGAGACAAAGGACUUCUGAGACCAAGAUACGGGUUUGACUUCCAACUUCUUGGCUGAAAGAGGCUGUCAGGUGUCCGAGAAAAAGAGCACAGGCUCCGGACGCGCAGGCGCAGCGGCCAUGGCUCACGGGCCC